rfam:Callithrix jacchus chromosome 11, whole genome shotgun sequence
AGAUCCAAGGUGCUCCUUGGCUCCCACACACUCUCCUCCAGCGCCCCAUCUUCCCUGGUUGCCCCUCGGUUCCCCGCUUCCCCAGUUUCCCCCGUUACCCCCCACCCCUCCCACC